rnacentral:rRNA from 1 species
GGGGGGAGGGGUGAGUAAUGUGUGGGUAAUUUGCUUCAUACGGGGGGAUAACAGUUAGAAAUGGCUGCUAAUACCGCAUAAGCACACAGCUUCGCAUGGAGCAGUGUGAAAAACUCCGGUGGUAUGAGAUGGACCCGCGUCUGAUUAGCUAGUUGGUAAGGUAACGGCUUACCAAGGCGACGAUCAGUAGCCGACCUGAGAGGGUGACCGGCCACAUUGGGACUGAGACACGGCCCAAACUCCUACGGGAGGCAGCAGUGGGGAAUAUUGCACAAUGGGGGAAACCCUGAUGCAGCGACGCCGCGUGAGUGAAGAAGUAUCUCGGUAUGUAAAGCUCUAUCAGCAGGGAAGAAAAUGACGGUACCUGACUAAGAAGCCCCGGCUAACUACGUGCCAGCAGCCGCGGUAAUACGUAGGGGGCAAGCGUUAUCCGGAUUUACUGGGUGUAAAGGGAGCGUAGACGGCGGAGCAAGUCUGAAGUGAAAGCCCGGGGCUCAACCCCGGGACUGCUUUGGAAACUGUUCUGCUAGAGUGCUGGAGAGGUAAGUGGAAUUCCUAGUGUAGCGGUGAAAUGCGUAGAUAUUAGGAGGAACACCAGUGGCGAAGGCGGUUUACUGGACAGUAACUGACGUUGAGGCUCGAAAGCGUGGGGAGCAAACAGGAUUAGAUACCCUGGUAGUCCACGCCGUAAACGAGAAUAAAGGGUGUGGGAGGGCAAAGCCCUUCGGGCCCGCCGCAAACCCAAUAAGCAUUCCCCGUGGGGAGGACGUUCGCAAGAAGGAAACUCAAAGGAAUGGACGGGGCCCCGCACAAGCGGUGGAGCAUGUGGUUUAAUUUGAAGCAACGCGAAGAACCUUACCAAGUCUUGACAUCCCCCUGACCGGACAGUAAUGUGUCCUUUCCUUCGGGACAGGGGAGACAGGUGGUGCAUGGUUGUCGUCAGCUCGUGUCGUGAGAUGUUGGGUUAAGUCCCGCAACGAGCGCAACCCUUAUCCUUAGUAGCCAGCAGUAAGAUGGGCACUCUAGGGAGACUGCCAGGGAUAACCUGGAGGAAGGUGGGGAUGACGUCAAAUCAUCAUGCCCCUUAUGAUUUGGGCUACACACGUGCUACAAUGGCGUAAACAAAGAGAAGCGAGCCUGCGAGGGGGAGCGAAUCUCAAAAAUAACGUCCCAGUUCGGACUGUAGUCUGCAACCCGACUACACGAAGCUGGAAUCGCUAGUAAUCGCGGAUCAGAAUGCCGCGGUGAAUACGUUCCCGGGUCUUGCACA